AGUGAAAAUCUUGAAAUCGCUUUGCUGAAAAAUUACAAUUUUGUCUUUUCAUAGUUUUUUCGAUGCACCUGUCGAUAUUGAAAUUAUUUACUACUUUGUCAAGCAUUGUGGGUAUUUUAGAUCACUUCUUGUUGGUCAAAAAUGAUCUUUUGUGAACCACUAGGUAAAAAAUCCCCGGUUUUUUGACCACAUUUUACUAAAUAUCUCCGAAACGAAAGAACUUUUAUGUUGGAUUAUUUUUCCUGUGUUUAGAGCACUUCAGGGGAUGAAUUUCCUUCAUACAUGCCAAAGUGAUAUUUCUUUUCCAUCCGCCUGAAAAGCAAGGUUUUCUGUGAGAAGUUUCGUUUUCUCAUGCUGCAGAGCAUAAGCUGCGCGCUCCCGCCAAAAAUAUUGAACGAAAGUUAUUUUUGCUGUCUUCACAAUCAUUAAGAUCAUUUGAUUAUGCUUAGAUAUUAAAACACAGAAGAGGAAAAGGCCAAUAUCUCGUCUUAUUAGCUAUUUUCCGUGAAUUUUUUGUGUUUUUUAUGGAGUUUUUUGUCAUUAAGACAACAAAUUGAAGGUUUAAGGAAAAAAGUGUGUGUAGGGGAGAGUGAGGCAGAUUGGGACAGUGCGUUUUAUUUAUCCACAGCCAUGAAUGGUAAUCAAAGGUCUCUGAAGGCUUCCAAUUACCACUGAUAUUAUAGAAAAUGUCUUAGAGAGAAAUUAUCCAAAUUUUCGCAAUUUCAGUUUACUUUCUCAGCAUUCACAAGACAUUGUCCAACAAAGCCAAUUAAAAUAUUCCAAUAAUUUCUCACAUAUUUAGGGGAUGUUUUGGCAUAAUAGUUUCUGUGGAAAAUCUAAGUGGUUUUUUGUAGACUAAAUAUUAAAAUCUCAUGCAAAAGAAAUGGGAAAAAGUGAAUUUGAGUGAAUUUGAAGCCCUAAAAUUGCGAAAAAGUAAUUUAUUUGUCAAUUUUACACUCUUAUCGUCAAAGAAAUGCUUUUCUAUUGUCUUUGAAUUGUUAUUAAUGUCGUUGUUUGGCUUUAACAGCUCAAAUCAUGAGAAAAUACAAGAAUAAAACCCAGGAAGAUCACAACAUUGAAAGAAUAUCUGCAGAGGAAGUGUUAAAGAGUUUCACAGUCAAAAAUAUCCAAUCUGGGCUUUCUUAAAGCAAGGAUUUAUUCAAGGAAUCUUCCUCAAGAUCAAACCAUGCAGAUUUCAUGCAGAGAUUCUUCAGCCAAAUUGAAAAUGUUGAAAACAAAGAAAAGGUGCAAAACAGACGUCAAAGAUUCGCCAAUCUAGCAAGUUCUUCAGAGAAAAGAUGAAAAACUGUUUAAGUCCCGAAGAAAAGAAGAAAAAAGGAGAAGAAUUGAAGUUUGUUUGCAAGAUUUUGCUUAAUUUAUUGAUUAUUGUGACUAAAACCUAUUCAAAUGUGCCCCAAAAUCGUCCCAAUUCUGCCCCACUGUGGGGCAAGAUUGGGACAAAAUGCCUCAAAAUGGGAAAAAAACCCAUUCUGUAGAAAAUCCUUGCAUUUUCCGAACCCGAGAUUUUUUUUUUUUUUUUUAUACUAUCUCCGAUUUAUUUUACAAUCUGUAUUUGAUACAAUGAGUAAAAUUACUGACGAUUGUGCAAAAAAAUUAACAUGAGUUGAAAUGAUGCCAAGUGACACACUCAACAAUUAACAAAUAUAUAUUACUAUAAAAGACUUUACGUAUUAUCGAAGUCGAUGACUCGUUGUCUUUUAAGUCUUCUCCUGCCUUUAACUAUGAGCAGGUUUUUCGCCAGGAAAUUAGGAUGCUCCUUCAGCCUCUCCCUGUGUUUUAUGGCGUAUCUUCGAAUCUCCUCCUGUAUUAGUGGGCAUUUGCAGAUCAUUUCUGAUGAGCUCAUUUGGCACGUACCAAGGUGUGCGUUGACAAUCAUUCUUAACAUCUUAUUUUCAAAUCUCUGCAUAAUGUUGAUGUUAGAACUUGCGGCAGCGCCCCAUAUCUGUAUAUCCCAUAGAUCCAUUUAGGCUUCAGAAUGGCUUUAUACAGGAUUAAUUUACUUUCCAUGGAUAGUUGGGAUUUACGACCGAUGAGCCAAUACAUUCCGCGCGAACUGUUUCACUUAAAUGUAGUCUCUUAGUCCAGAGAUGCUUUUUCCAGGCGAGACGUCGAUCCAGAUGAAAACCCAGGUAUUUGGCGCUAUCCGAUUGCGGCACAACCUCAUUGUUGAUGCUCACCGGUGGGCAAACGCCCUUUUUUUGUUGAAAAGGUGACUCGGGGAAGACUUCAGCGCGUUGACCUUUAUCCUCCACUUCAGCAUCCAACUCUCCACCACCGUGGCACAAGCCUGCAUCUAAACCCGAGAUAAAGCGACCUCUUGAAGCUUCAAUUAGCAAGAUGAACUCAAAAGGCUGAAUAGGAUUUACCUCCAAAUGUUUCAUCUCUUUGUCAUUAAGACCAAAAAAAUCACGUAAAAUAGCUAAAAAGUCGAGAUAUUGGCCUUUUUUCUCUAUUCUUUUAACAUCAAAGCAUUAUCAUUAUCUAAAUGAGUGUGUAGAUAGCAAAAUGUCCUUCUUUAUGUUCAAUAUUUUUGGCGGGAGCGCGCAGCUUAUGCUCUGCAGCAUGAGAAAGCGAAAAUUGUCACAGAAAACCUUGCUUUUCCAGCAGAUGGAAAAGAAAUAUCACUUUGGCAUGUAUGAAGGAAAUUCAUCCCCUGAAGUUCUCUAAACACAGGAAAAAUAAUCCAACAUAAAAGUUCUUUCGUUUCGGAGAUAUUUGAGAAAAUGUGGUCAAAAACCGACGAUUUUUUUACCUAAUGGUUUACAAAAGAUCCUUUUUGACCAACAAGAAGUGCUCUAAAAUACCCACAAUGCUUGACAAAGUAGUAAAUAAUUUCAAUAUCUGUCAUUUGAGUCUAAUUUGGGGGAAAUCCGUUGGAAAUUGGGCGAGAUUUGAGCACAAAAGUGCAGAAAAGUGGGAGAAAAUAGGGGAAAAUAGGCUCGAAAAGGACGAUCUUGAGGAUUUAAGGGAAAAAGAGCUCAAAGAUUCAAGGAAUCAGAGAAAUCCACACUUCAAAAAAGAGCAUAAAAAAGUAUGAUUUUUGUUGCCAAGUGUAAUGAAGCAAAAGAAGUAUUAAAAAAAAAAGUGAAUGAAGAGCGAGAUUUUGUCUUUGCUUUUUGUGGGUGGCAAGAAAAGAGUAAAAAGAAAAAAACAAACAAACACUGAGGAAAGAAAAAGAAGAAAAAAAAGCCCACAAAAAAUCCAUUUCUGAAGGGCGCGCAAGAAUUGUAAAGAAGAAGAAAAAGAAAGAUUGACGGUGAAAAAUAAUGCUAUUCUAUAUAAUUAUUAACUUUUACCAAUAAGAAAACUAAAAAAAAAAGGAGGAGAAAAUAGUGAAGAAAUAUUUACUUAAAUGUAUUACAGGUUAUUUGAAGAAUGGAACAAAGCAAAAAAAAGAAAGAUUGAUGGAAGAAAUAAAAAAUAUCUGCGACGUCAAUUGAAAAUUAGACGCAAAGAAGAUGAAGAAGAAGGAAUCAUAUCUUAAGGCGAAAUGAGAGAAAGAGAGAGAGAGAGAGUAAUUUGUCUAAGAUUUAUUUGAUAUAGGGAAAAAACGCUGCGGAGCAAAAGAGAAAAUUCCUGCACACAAAAAGUGUGUUUUUCGCAAAAGUGUGGCGAAAAAAAAGUUGCGAAUCGGCGGGAGAGAAAUUGCUAUUUUCGAAUUGCGAGCAGGACUCAAAAAAGGAGGAGCGGAAGGAAGGAAGGAUGUGUGGAAAACAGGUGUGGAUAUAUUAGAGAAAAUCAUUGAAGGAUGUGUAAAACGACAGAAAACGACCCCACAAUUUUAUGCUGUAAGGAAAAAAAGAAUAAAAAUUUAAUAUGAAAAUU